UACAGAGGUCCCAAGCGUUGUUCGGAUUCACUGGGUUUAAAGGGUGCGUAGGCGGGUUGGUAAGUCCGUGGUGAAAUCCCCAAGCUUAACUUGGGAACUGCCGUGGAUACUAUCAAUCUUGAAUAUCGUGGAGGUAAGCGGAAUAUGUCAUGUAGCGGUGAAAUGCUUAGAUAUGACAUAGAACACCAAUUGCGUAGGCAGCUUACUACACGAUCAUUGACGCUGAGGCACGAAAGCGUGGGGAGCAAACAGG
rnacentral:rRNA from 1 species